UAAGUACCUGGGUUGUUAGUUAAAUGAGGACUGAGAAUCAGAGAAGGAAAUACGGACGAGAAUUGAAAUAGCCAGAAACACCUUUCAGAAAAUGAGGAAACUUCUAACUAACAGGAAAAUAAACCUAAAACUGAGGUGGCGAAUGGUUAAAUGUUACAUCAUCCCAAUUCUUAUGUAUGGUUCCGAAAGCUGAACCCUGAAAAAGAAUUUGGUCAACAAACUAAGGGCUUUUGAAAUGGGGAUUUAUCGAAGGAUGCUCAAAAUUAAAUGGACUGAUAGAAUAACUAGUGUCAGAGUUUUGGAAAUCAUGAAAAAAGGCUUAGAGGUAAUAUUAACAAUAAAGAAGAAGAGAGCAGCAUAUUUUGGACAUAUAUAUGUAUAGAAACAAUAAAUACAACCUACUGAAAUUAAUAAUUGAAGGAAAAAUUGAAGGGAAGCGUGGCCGUGGUAGAAGGCGCACAUCAUGGACUGAAAAUAUAAGAGACUGGUUAAAAGUGAAGAGCAUAGAU